GUGAGGAAUAUUGGACAAUGGGCGCAAGCCUGAUCCAGCCAUGCCGCGUGCAGGAAGACGCAUCUAUGGUGUGUAAACUGCUUUUGUACGGGAAGAAACACUCCCUCGUGAGGGAGCUUGACGGUACCGUAAGAAUAAGGAUCGGCUAACUCCGUGCCAGCAGCCGCGGUAAUACGGAGGAUCCAAGCGUUAUCCGGAAUCAGUGGGUUUAAAGGGUCCGUAGGCGGGUUAAUAAGUCAGUGGUGAAAGCCCAUCGCUCAACGAUGGAACGGCCAUUGAUACUGUUAGACUUGAAUUACAAGGAAGUAACUAGAAUAUGUAGUGUAGCGGUGAAAUGCUUAGAUAUUACAUGGAAUACCAAUUGCGAAGGCAGGUUACUACUUGUGGAUUGACGCUGAUGGACGAAAGCGUGGGGAGCGAACAGGAUUAGAUACCCUUGUAGUCC
rnacentral:rRNA from 1 species